rnacentral:sRNA from 1 species
AGUGCGGACGCCCGGCUCCUGGCGUGGACGCCAUGGUGCUGUGCCCGGUGAUUGGGAAGCUGCUGCACAAGCGCGUGGUGCUGGCCAGCGCCUCCCCACGCCGUCAGGAGAUCCUCAGCAACGCGGGUCUCAGGUUUGAGGUGGUCCCCUCCAAGUUUAAAGAGAAGCUGGACAAAGCCUCCUUCGCUACUCCGUAUGGGUACGCCAUGGAGACCGCCAAGCAGAAGGCCCUGGAGGUGGCCAACCGGAUGCACCAGGCAAGGGGCCCCUGCUCUUUGGCCCUUAUGAAAAUUCCUUUGCUGUGAUGAGGGGAUUUGCAGGCAGUAAAUAUACAUGAUACAAAUAAACAUCAUUCAGAAGAUGCAGUUGGUGGCACAGCUUAGCUAUUGCUAUGUUAUAAUGUAAUGCACUAUUGCGGUAACCUAAUAAUACCAUUAAUGAUACAGAAUUAAUGUAGCUUAUCUGUUACUACGUGUUAUAAUAUUCUCUUGCAAUUGAUACAGUAUCAUUGAUGAUAUAGAAUUAAUGUAGCUUAUCUAUUACUAUGUGUUAUAAUAUUCUCUUGCAAUUGAUAUAGUAUCAUUCAUGAUAGAGAAUUAAUGUAGCUUAUCUGUUACUAUGUGUUAUAAUAUUCUCUUGCAAUUGAUACAGUAUCAUUUAUGAUAUAGAAUUAAUGUAGUUAUCUAUUACUAUGCGUUGUAAUAUUCUCUUGCAAUGGAUACAGUAUCAUUUAUGAUAUACAAUUAAUGUAGUUAUCUAUUACUAUGUGUUAUAAUAUUCUCUUGCAAUUGAUUUCAUAGUAUCAUUUAUGAUAUAGAAUUAAUGUAGCUUAUCUAUUACUAUGU